UUUUCUAACCAUAUUCAGAUCCUCUCCAGUCCCGAUAAGAAAGUAAUCGUGCUCUUUUUUUUAUUGAAAGCUUUAAAAUUUAUUGAUUGGGAAUCUUAUUUUGUUUAGAAGGAAUUUAAACCAUACAUAAACUACUUAUCGGUGCUAAAUAUUGAAAAUUUUGUGUUUAAUGCGUAUAUUUGUUUAUAAUAAUGCUGCAUUUUCAUAAAAUCACUGCAUUGAUGGAGUUUGUGCUUGGAAUUUAUUUAUAGAAAUGUUUAAUCUUUAUUUUUUAAAGCUGCGUUUGAUUUCAGAAAGAUGAAAAGGAGUGGAUGUAAUCAGUGCAAUUUUUUCUCUGCUUACUGAAGGAGUUCUUAAUCUAUGACUGAUUAUGUAUGGUUAAUUUGAAAUUUGUUGGGGAUUUUCCUCUCGUAAGGUAAAUGGGUUUUGUUCGAUCUUCAGGUGGUAGAUGCGAGUGCUCUUUCACUUAGAGUGAUUUAUCAUUCGAAAUUGGCACUGAAGUAUGGGUUUGUUCAAGAAAAAAAACAUGGAAUUCCUUAUUUCUUUACUUAAUAGCGAUAAUGAAAGUGUUACUGGACUCGGUGCAAGUAUCAUUACACAUUCUUGUGAGACAAGUGUGGAGCUACGGGCAUUAUGUGAUGCUGGGGUUCUAGAAAGUUAAUUAGCCUCCUUGAAGGUUCUAUAAGUCAGAAAAGUGCUAGUUUAGAGUCGCUGGCUGCAGUCUUUAAGAACAAUCCUGGGGUCAUCUCUAAAUUCACGGGACUUGAAAAUGAAAGAGCUGUUGAAGGCUCUUUAAAUCAGAGAUAUGCUAGUUUAGAAUCUUUGACCACAGUUCUCAAGAACAAUCCUGAAGUUGUCUCGAAUUUUGUGGGACCAGAAAGUGGGAGUGUUUUAAGCUCUAUAAUUGAAUUAACAAGGGAUAGAUAUCCCCAGACAAGGUCGGUUGCCUGCAUGUGCCUGAUUGUCAUAAGAAUGCUUCUCCUAAUUAUAUGCAAGUGACCAUUCCACUGAUGCCAUUUUGCAACUUUUAAUAUACUUCUAGUUACACAGGUCUUGAACCAAGUGAUUGAUGCGCACCUAUGUCUACAUCUUGCGGAUAGAAUGUCAUUCAGAACUUGUGUGCAGGUGACUUUAAGAAUGAAAUUCUUGUAUAGAGCUCACUGAUUCCUUGUUGGAAAGCCUUAUAUAUGACCCUGAGCCUUGUGUUCAAGAGCAAGCUUUGGGCCUUUUUCGGAAUCUUGUUGAUGGAUGUAUAAAGUCCAUUGAGUAUAUGUUUGCUGAAGAUGGUAUUCUAUUAGAUGCUGUUGGAAGGCAAUUACACAAUGCUUCACACGAACUUGGAAUACAGGGAAUGUAUCUUCUUGGCAACGUGGAAAUGAUUUUCACAAGGAAAUAGUUAUGCAGCAACUUCUUGUCCGAGCAGAUAAUUGAGCCCAAUCUUUCAUGAUCAAGAUCUUGCAGUGUAGUGAUAGCAGGUUACGUACAGCUGCUGUCUGGAUGAUAGUGAAUCUCACAUUCCCUUGUCCUAGUGCAUUUGGUCGGCUAGUACACCUUAGUUUGGAACACCCUUUUACUCGUUUUAACUGUUUUACUAAUGUUCCAGUACUAUAUUUUUUGCAGCUUUGUGUAACAACAGUGAUGACUCAGUCUAUGACUUUUGGUGAUGGCCUCACAUGAUCAUCCGUAUGUAUCCCUUGAAUCUAGCACAAAGAGGAGAGAUAAAUGCAGAACAAUCUUUGGUCUUGACCUUAUUUUGUAAGAUAUGUCCAGCAUUUCUCUGGAAGCUUGAAACAUUAUGCUGCAGUGAAGGUAUCACAUUACAUUGCUUUCAGUUUCCCAGUUAGAGAGCAGUGUGGUUCUCGAUUUGUGGGGGCAGAGAUCCCUUUCCGUGAUGCAUUAAUUUUUGUAUGUAAUCGAUGAUGCUUGUUGCAGCACAUGGUAUCAACUUGUAAAUGAAACCACGACAUCCAUACAUGCAUACAUAUUUUUUUGUAAAUUAAGGAUAUAUGCUUGUUCCUCGA